rnacentral:rRNA from 1 species
CUAAGUUUGAUGGCGACCGGCGCACGGGUGAGUAACACGUAUCCAACCUGCCGAUGACUCGGGGAUAGCCUUUCGAAAGAAAGAUUAAUACCCGAUGGCAUAGUUCUUCCGCAUGGUGGAACUAUUAAAGAAUUUCGGUCAUCGAUGGGGAUGCGUUCCAUUAGGUUGUUGGCGGGGUAACGGCCCACCAAGCCUUCGAUGGAUAGGGGGACUGAGAGGUUAACCCCCCACACUGGUACUGAGACACGGACCAGACUCCUACGGGAGGCAGCAUG